AUACGUAGGGAGCGAGCGUUGUCCGGAAUUACUGAGCGUAAAGGGCGCGUAGGCGGCGCUUCAAGUCGUCUGUCAAAUGGGAGGGCUUAACCCUUUUUCGCAGACGAAACUGGAGAGCUUGAGAAGCAGAGAGGCAAACAGAAUUCCUGGUGUAGCGGUGAAAUGCGUAGAUAUCAGGAAGAAUACCAGUGGCGAAGGCGGUUUGCUGGCUGCAUACUGACGCUGAAGCGCGAAAGCCAGGGGAGCAAACGGGAUUAGAUACCCCGGUAGUCCUGGCAGUAAACGAUGUAUGCUGGGUGUGAGACUAGCGAUAGUUUCGUGCCGAAGUUAACGCGAUAAGCAUACCGCCUGGGGAGUACGGUCGCAAGAUUGAAACUCAAAUGAAUUGACGGGG
rnacentral:rRNA from 1 species